rnacentral:rRNA from 1 species
AGGCAGCAUGGGGGAUAUUGGACAAUGGGGGGAAACCCUGAUCCAGCGACGCCGCGUGAGUGAAGAAGUAUUUCGGUAUGUAAAGCUCUGUCAGCAGGGAAGAAAGAGAUGACGGUACCUGACCAAGAAGCCCCGGCUAACUACGUGCC